UUGGUGGCUCACCCCCACCUGGGGGAACCCUGAACGAGGAGCCUUUGCCGGUCUGGAACUUUCCCUGGAUUCUCUGGGAAUGUCUAGGGAUUUUCUCUGCGUGGACUGACUCUAUUAUUCCUUGGGGGACUGAUGACCUCCUGCGGAGUUUACUCCUCUCCUCCGCCUUCCCUCUGUUCCGGUGGAUCCCGCCGCCAUCUUGAUCUGUGGUCACACGUGUUUCCACGCAUCUGAGUGGACAUUCACACAGAGGACCCAGGACAACAGGCAUAUCUCCAAAAGGACCCAAGUGGCUCCAACAUUCCCCUGGCAAUAAAGCAGUGAUGCUUAGACCAUAUCCUCAGGAUGGAAAGAAGUGGGAACAGAAAAACCUCUGGCGCUGCAGAGAGUGACAGCUAUUGCCUGAGCAUCUAACUUGCCACAUUUGGUACUUUAUUGAACACUGUGUACACAACCUAUUAGGUGAAUCCUGAUCACCAAUACUAAACAAUAUUUUGUCGUGUUUAUACCACUCUGGAUGAUUCUGAGAUCUGUAAACAUUUAGAUAGAGGUUCUACUAUAGGAUCUAGCUUUUGUAAAACAUUUUGUCAUUUGGGAUACAUCAGAACAGUUCCCAAGUCAGUUAUAAAACAUCCUUGCUGAAAGGACUUUUAAAGUAGCCCAGGAUUCUGUCUGUGUAGCAUUGGGUGCUGGAGACAGUGGGGUGGCUGGAGUCAGGUCCCAAAGCACCUCUCCUCCUGAGAAGCCUUUUCUAACCAAAAUUACACUCCAGGAAUGUGUGUAUUUUGGUGUGCUGUUGGUCAUGAUAGCAAUGAUGCUGCAACUCUGACUUUGUACAGUAGGUUCUCUCAGCCUGGCCUUCAACCCUCUUCUCAUUUUAUAGAACUCAACUCAAACAGCUCCUUUUCUUGGUUUCUCUUAUUGAUAUUUAGGGAGCCCCUAUGGCUCUGUCCACCUUCUUUGCGCCCCAGAGGUGGAAGAAGAGCAGUGAGAGAAGCUGGACCAAGGGCACAUGGUGCUGCGGACUGGAGAUUAGGAAGAGGCUAAGACCCCAAGUCAUUAUGUGGUGUGUUGGCCUUGAUUUGCCUCUUUGAGAAGCUCUACAGGGAAUGGGGCU